AACGCACCUUGCGCUCUCUAGUUAUUCUGGAGAGCAUGCUUGUUUGAGUGUCGCGAACCUCUCAACCCCGUUAAAGGCUUAAUUGACUUUGAUUGCUUGGGCUUGGAUCAUGGUCACUUGUCGUUGUAUAACGACUUGACUGAAAUACAACAAGUUGAAUGAAUCCAUUUGCAGCUUGACCUGAUGUUGUAAACUACUCAUCGGGGAUGCAUAAGGAAGUCAAGGAACUUUAACAGAACCCAUUAUAGUACUUAGUACAAUUUAUGACCUCAAAUCAAGUAGGACUACCCGCUGAACUUAA
rnacentral:misc_RNA from 1 species